UCGGUAGCUGCGGUGCUGAUGGCUAGGAAUGUUGAGCAGGAUGCCCCAAAUCAGAUAGUAUGUGACAGAGCUGGCCUGGGAGCCCCCGUCCAUCAGAGAGCCACCACAAAACCUGUUGCCUCUCUCCUGGAGGUGAUUAUCCGAUUUCACUUACCGGGCUUCACCCUUGGGGUGCUUUCAUGCAACCCCAGCACCCAGCUCCUGACCAAGCCCCCCGGGGAACACGUGACUUGGAUGAUCUGAGAAAGGCACUGAGGCCGGGCCAUCUACUGCCUCUCCUGCCUCCAGCUCAAACCUCUUGUCGCUCGGACCUCAGGCUUCUUUCCCCAAGUUUUGCCCCGUCUCUCUCAGGAGUGCUCUUAAUACACACGCACAUCCACACCUGUCCCCCAUCCCAUACACCAUAGCUAUCUGUGGUAUCAUGGAGAGGUCACUGAUGAUGUCAGAAGUUCUGGGGUCAAACGCCACCGUCAUUAACCGGAUACCACCAAUAUCCAGCUUUGCAACCCCAGGCAAGCCUCUUUGAGUCUCAUCCAUACUAAGGGAGAACUAUUACUUGCCCCACCAGCUCGAUGGGCUUGCCCUAAAGCCAGUAGCUUAAAAGCACAUUAUAAACUGUAAAGCGCAGUUCCCAUACCAGGUAUUACUAAGCACUUUGUGUCAUGGCCUAUUGGAGCUCAUCUUUGGCCCCGGGUUAAGCGUGGGUCAAAAGAACUGCCCGGGGCUGGGCUGUUUCCGGCCUCUGAUCUGGGAAAGAUCGUCUCCUUACCCAGGAGAACCCCGCUCGACUCUUUGACCCUCCUCAGAGAUUUUUCUCAUGAUCAGUUUAUCUGGCUCCAGAGCAAGCCGCUGGCCAGCCAUGCACUACCGCCAGACCAAGCGCGAGCCCUGGCCGCUGCCUCCGGGAGCUUCGGGGUUAAUGUUUGUGCGUCAAAGUUACGUGGAGAGAAGGGGCCACAGUGCGGAUGGGGGUGGUGGAGCAAUCAGAGCUUCUUUUAACGUCUUCACCUGCCAGCGCAACUGGGGAAGUUUCAAGACGGAAGGGAGACAGAAGCGCCCCUGGGGAAGGUGAAGGAGCAGUCUCGUGACUGACAGCAAUGAGUUCUGCAUCCUGAAGCUGCCCAGGCGGGACGUGGAGCUGGCGCCUGGCGGUGGACCCCGCCAGGAGGGACUGAGGCUGGCCCGCUUUCCUGGGGUUUGCAGAGCCACAGGCUGUUUACAAACUGCCUUUUCUGCCCACUGGCUCUCUUAAUGCUCACGACAGCCCAGACAGCAGUCCAACUGAGUGUUUAUUCAACACCAACUCUGUGCCCAGUAGAGGAGGCAAGGCAUAGAAAACAACUGGAGAUGAAUCAACAGCUGCAUCAGGUUCAGCAGACAUUCAGCUGUAUCUCGCCCUACCCUGGGUGGGGCAGGCAUCCCGUUGGUUCUUGCGGUUGGAUGUCUACAAGCCUCCAGGGAAUGAACAAAUAACAAAGGAAAUGGCUGACAAAGGGAAAAUUAUGAAGUGAGAAUUUCACUAAAGAAUUUAGCCCACUUUACUCUGUUCGCAAAGGCCCUGGAAUUGUCCCCGAACUGGGGUUUAGGGAAUCUAUCAUUUGUUCCCACGGUGUCCUUAUUAGCCAGGCAAACUGGGCAGAGUUUAAACCUCAAGGAUCUUCCUGUUCUCAUCUGUCGAAUUGGGCUAAUGAUGUCAAUCCACCCCAUGAGUCUCUCUACUGUCGGUGUCCCAGUGCUGUGGUUCAAACUUGACCUUCGGAGAUGGAUUGACAGAAUGUGUGGAGGGAGAGAAUGCAGGCACGAUGUCUCCAGGGCAACUCCUGGAGUCGCAACGGCCUGGCCGUGGCUCAGUGCAGUGCCUUGGGAACAGACACAAUACACUCCAAGUCCAAGGCUAGUUCCUGCACUUCUGCUGGAGAACGUGAAAUGAGCAGUGAAGGCCAAACUAAAAACAGGAAGACCAGGCAGAAGAUUCUAGCAGUGGCCCAGGUGAGAGAAGACAGUGGCCGGGCUUGGGAGUUCUCGUGUGGUUGGAGAGAAGUGAACCACCGAUGGGAGUCCAUUUAUUACAGACACACAGGAAUGUUUCAGCAAGGAAUCCUACAAGAACCAGUCUCCGGUGUUUGUAUCUGAUAGUCAUGGAAUCCUCAAGCCACGGACUGAUAGGGCAGGAGGGGAGCUUGGAGGUUACCUGGGCAUUCUUCUUUAGGGCUUCUGAUAGAUGGGGCCAUUUAAUCCCAAACCCCAAAACCAGAUGUGGUAGGUGCUUUCUGGGCUGGAGAGAGGAGAUUUUCUUAAACAGAAGCAGUGUGAGUGCACCCCAGGAAGCAGGCCACAAAGCCUACUGGGCCCAUCAGGUGUGCCAUCUCCAAAAAGCAGCUCUGGAGGUUGUUGUCCCACAGAGCAUCUGGGCCAGUGGCUUUAGGUUCCCGUUCUGCAGCGGCCUGUGCUUUGGCUGAUGCUUGUGCUUGGGGAUUGAUGGGUGCCUGUCAAGGCUGGCUCCUUGGCCCUGACCACUUUUCUAGCCCCCAGGUAACAGCCCCUGGCAUUCGUUAAACUUGACUCAGAAAAUCAGACACUGCUCAGUGACUGUCCUUAACACAGUUUCCCUAUUGCUUCUCCCAUUGCUGAUUUUUAUUAUUUUUAAAUUUUUUUUAAUGUUUAUUUAUUUUUG